rnacentral:rRNA from 1 species
CGCUGGCGGCGUGCCUAAUACAUGCAAGUCGAACGGUCUUUCUAUGGAAGCUUGCUUCCACUGAGAAGAUAGUGGCGAACGGGUGAGUAACACGUGGGUAACCUGCCCAUAAGAGGGGGAUAACAUCCGGAAACGGGUGCUAAUACCGCAUAGUUUUCUUGAUCGCAUGAUCGGGAAAGGAAAGACGGCCUUUGUGCUGUCGCUUAUGGAUGGACCCGCGGCGUAUUAGUUAGUUGGUGAGGUAACGGCUCACCAAGACGAUGAUACGCAGCCGACCUGAGAGGGUGAUCGGCCACAUUGGGACUGAGACACGGCCCAAACUCCUACGGGAGGCAGCAGUAGGGAAUCUUCCGCAAUGGACGAAAGUCUGACGGAGCAACGCCGCGUGAGUGAAAGAAGGUUUUCGGAUCGUAAAACUCUGUUGUCAGAGAAGAACAAGUUGGAGAGUAACUGCUCCAGCCUUGACGGUAUCUGACCAGAAAGCCACGGCUAACUACGUGCCAGCCGCCGC